CGGGGGUGUGAGUGUUGGAGGAGGAGGUCAAGGGGGGACACGUGCACAUCAUAACAAGUGCCGACUGCCGACGGCGUAGCUUGCAGUGUUGCUUGUGUCUUCUGUGAAGUCGGUCGGUCUACCGCGCUUAAUAUCACGGCAGCUGAUAAUCUUUUAUCACGGCAGGUGAUAAUAGAUGCGGUGUCCCCAGGACUGGUUGAUUGGCAGACCCUACUGCAGCUACGAUCUUUACAUGCGUGAGGACACUACAUGACCCCCCACCUUUGCGUCUGACCGCUACUUUGAUCGCACGAGUCCAAUGGCGGUGGUUCAACGUUAUCCUACAAACCCAAGCCCCAAAAUAAUGUCUUCCGACGGCAACGUGUCAAAACUUUCUCUGAUGCAGGUAAGAUUUCAGGUUAUUGUCGUUUUAAAAUGAUUUUUCAACUUAAAAAAAAUGAAAUGCUUUGUGACCCUACACGUAUAAAAAUGAUUGUUGA